rnacentral:rRNA from 1 species
UGAAUACGAGAUGCUACGGCGUCGAAGCAGUGUAUGUCAGACUUCCAAGAAAAGCUCGCAAUGUCAUAAAUAAAGAAUGCCUGUACCAUAACCGACACAGGUGGGUAGGUAGAGUAUACUAAGGGGCGCGAGAUAACUCUCUCUAAGGAACUCGGCAAAAUAACUCCGUAACUUCGGGAGAAGGAGUGCCUUCUUUAAGAAGGUUGCAAUAACAAGAUCCAAGCAACUGUUUAUCAAAAACACAGGUCUCCGCUAAGUCGUAAGACGAUGUAUGGGGGCUGACGCCUGCCCAGUGCCAGAAGGUUAAAGAAGUUGGUUAGCUUUUGCGAAGCUGAUGACUGAAGCCCUGGUGAACGGCGGCCGUAACGAUAACGGUCCUAAGGUAGCGAAAUUCCUUGUCGGGUAAGUUCCGACCCGCACGAAAGGCGUAAUGAUUUGGAUACUGUCUCGGAGAGGGACUCGGUGAAAUAGACUUGUCUGUGAAGAUGCGGACUACCUGCACCAGGACAGAAAGACCCUAUGAAGCUUUACUGUAACUUGAAAUUGAAAUUGGACUUUAUUUGCGCAGUAUAGGUGGAAGGCGUUGAAAGUAAUCUUGCGGGAUUAGUGGAGCCAUCAGUGAGAUACCACUCCUAUAAUGUUAGAUUUCUAACUUUGGAUCAUGAUCUGGUCAAAGAACAGUUUCAGGCGGGCAGUUUGACUGGGGCGGUCGCUUCCCAAAUGGUAACGGAGGCGUACAAAGGUUUCCUCUGAACGGGUAGAAAUCGUAUCUAGAGUGUAAAGGCAUAAGGAAGCUUGACUGUGAGACCUACAAGUCGAGCAGGGACGAAAGUCGGUCUUAGUGAUCUGACGGUGCUGAGUGGAAAGGCCGUCACUCAACGGAUAAAAGUUACUCUAGGAUAACAGGCUGAUCUCCCCCAAGAGUUCACAUCGGCGGGGAGGUUUGGCACCUCGAUGUCGGCUCAUCGCAUCCUGGGGCGGUAGUACGUCCCAAGGGUUGGGCUGUUCGCCCAUGAAAGCGGUACGCGAGCUGGGUUCAGAACGUCGUGAGACAGUUCGGUCCAUAUCCGGUGUAGGCGUUAGAAUAUUGAGAGGAGCCUUCUUUAGUACGAGAGGACCGAGAAGGACAUACCUCUGGUGUACCAGUUAUCGUGCCAACGGUAAACGCUGGGUAGCUAUGUAUGGAGAGGAUAACCGCUGAAAGCAUCUAAGUGGGAAGCCCACCUCAAGAUGAGUA